CCAGGGUGGCACCAGAGGAGGAAGCAGACCCCGAACUGCGCUGAGCUAAGUCGUGAGCGGAAAGACUGACGCGGUCACAGCAGGCUGUCCCGCAGGCUGAGAUAGCCAAGAACCAUGAGAGUCCUCCUUCCUGUUCUGCUGAGCAUCUUGCUCUGUAUAGAGCCAGCUCAUUCUCUCAAAUGCUACAACUGUACCAAGGUACAGCAAUCCAGUCAGUGCACCUCUGUUCAGUGCCCGGGGUCAGCAACUCACUGUGGGAGUUUGGAAGCUGGAGAAAAAAAUGGGCCAGAGAACCAAAAGUUUCACUUCAAGGGCUGUACUAAUUCCUGUGAAAAUUUUUUCACGGAAUCAUUUUCAAAGGCCCAUAUGUUGAUCCCCCAAGCUAUCAUUGAAGUGGGUUAUUCCUGCUGUUCAGGAGCACUCCUACUCAGCCUUGGACCUGCCUUCUUCUGGGCCAUGAUGUGA
rnacentral:lncRNA from 1 species